rnacentral:rRNA from 1 species
CCUACGGGCGGCUGCAGUGGGGAAUAUUGCGCAAUGGGCGAAAGCCUGACGCAGCGACGCCGCGUGAGGGAUGAAGGUCUUCGGAUCGUAAACCUCUGUCAGCAGGGAAGAACGGUCACUGUGCUAAUCAGCAGUGAAUUGACGGUACCUGCAACGGAAGCACCGGCUAACUCCGUGCCAGCAGCCGCGGUAAUACGGAGGGUGCGAGCGUUAAUCGGAAUGACUGGGCGUAAAGCGCGCGUAGGCGGCAUGUCAAGUCAAGGGUGAAAUCCCGGCGCUCAACGUGGGAACUGCCUUUGAAACUGGCAAGCUGGAGUGUGUGAGAGGAUGGUGGAAUUCCUGGUGUAGGAGUGAAAUCCGUAGAUAUCUGGAGGAACAUCAGUGGCGAAGGCGACUAUCUGGCACAUAACUGACGCUGAGGAGCGAAAGCGUGGGUAGCGAACAGGAUUAGAUACCCGAGUAGUC